ACGAACGCUGGCGGCGUGCUUAACACAUGCAAGUCGAACGGAAAGGCCCUGCUUUUGUGGGGUGCUCGAGUGGCGAACGGGUGAGUAACACGUGAGUAACCUGCCCUUGACUUUGGGAUAACUUCAGGAAACUGGGGCUAAUACCGGAUAGGAGCUCCUGCUGCAUGGUGGGGGUUGGAAAGUUUCGGCGGUUGGGGAUGGACUCGCGGCUUAUCAGCUUGUUGGUGGGGUAGUGGCUUACCAAGGCUUUGACGGGUAGCCGGCCUGAGAGGGUGACCGGCCACAUUGGGACUGAGAUACGGCCCAGACUCCGACGGGAGGCAGCAGUGGGGAAUAUUGCACAAUGGGCGGAAGCCUGAUGCAGCAACGCCGCGUGCGGGAUGGCGGCCUUCGGGUUGUAAACCGCUUUCGCCUGUGACGAAGCGUGAGUGACGGUAAUGGGUAAAGAAGCACCGGCUAACUACGUG
rnacentral:rRNA from 1 species